UACGUAGGGGGCUAGCGUUGUCCGGAUUUAUUGGGCGUAAAGAGCUCGUAGGUGGUUCGGUAAGUCGGAUGUGAAAUCUCCAGGCUCAACCUGGAGGGGUCAUUCGAUACUGCCGUGACUAGAGUUCGGUAGAGGAGUGUGGAAUUCCUGGUGGAGCGGUGAAAUGCGCAGAUAUCAGGAAGAACACCCGUGGCGAAGGCGGCUCUCUGGGACGGUACUGACGCUGAGACGCGAAAGCGUGGGGAGCGAACAGG
rnacentral:rRNA from 1 species